rnacentral:misc_RNA from 1 species
GAUGAAGAACGCAGCGAAAUGCGAAAAGUAAUGUGAAUUGCAGAAUUCAGUGAAUCAUCGAAUCUUUGAACGCACAUUGCGCCCGCCAGUAUUCUGGCGGGCAUGCCUGUCUGAGCGUCAUUUCAACCCUCACGCCCCUAGGGCGUGGUGUAGGGGAUCGGCCAAGGCCCGCAAGGGACGGCCGGCCCCUAAAUCUAGUGGCGGACCCAUCGUGGCCUCCCCUGCGAAGUAGUAAUAUAUUCCGCAUCGGAUAGCGAUGAGCCCCUGCCGUUAAACCCCCAACUCUUUCAAGGUUGACCUCAGAUCAGGUAGGAAUACCCGCUGAACUUAAGCAUAUCAAUAAGCGGAGGA